CUGCUUUGGUAGCACAUAUACUGAAAUUGGAAUGAUACAGAGAAGAUUAGCAUGGCCCCGUGCAAGAAUGACAUGCAGAUUUGUGUAGCAUUCCAUGUUUUU